UACGGAAGGCAGCAGUGGGGAAUAUUGCACAAUGGGCGCAAGCCUGAUGCAGCCAUGCCGCGUGUAUGAAGAAGGCCUUCGGGUUGUAAAGUACUUUCAGUCGUGAGGAAGGUGUUAAGGUUAAUAACCUUAGCAAUUGACGUUAGCGACAGAAGAAGCACCGGCUAACUCCGUGCCAGCAGCCGCGGUAAUACGGAGGGUGCGAGCGUUAAUCGGAAUUACUGGGCGUAAAGGGCACGCAGGCGAUUAAUUAAGUUGGAUGUGAAAUCCCCCGGGCUUAACCUGGGAAUGGCAUUCAAGACUGGUUAGCUAGAGUCUUGUAGAGGGGGUAGAAUUCCAUGUGUAGCGGUGAAAUGCGUAGAGAUGUGGAGGAAUACCGGUGGCGAAGGCGGCCCCUGGACAAAGACUGACGCUCAUGUGCGAAAGCGUGGGGAGCAAACAGGGAUUAGAUACC
rnacentral:rRNA from 1 species